UACGUAGGGUGCAAGCGUUGUCCGGAAUCAUUGGGCGUAAAGCGCGCGUAGGCGGCCCGGUAAGUCCGCUGUGAAAGUCCAGGGCUCAACCCUGGAAAGCCGGUGGAUACUGCCGGGCUAGAGUCCGGAAGAGGCGAGUGGAAUUCCUGGUGUAGCGGUGGAAUGCGCAGAUAUCAGGAGGAACACCAAUAGCGAAGGCAGCUCGCUGGGACGGUACUGACGCUGAGGUGCGAAAGCGUGGGGAGCGAACAGG
rnacentral:rRNA from 1 species